AAAUUAAACAAACACCGUGUGUCACUCCAGUCUUCACUUCCUCGAUCAAAGGUCCCACGUUAGUCAUUUACGAGAUCAACUUGAAAGGGGCUCUAGUUUAUCGGUUGAUAUUCGAGUAGCGGAUCUAAUCUAACCUAACCUCAGAGUUGAUUUCGUCAGUUUGUCUGGCAUAAACGUUUCUGUAGCUUCUGUGUGGAAAGUUUGUUACAAACGGUCGCAUAGCGAAGUGGAUAUCGCGUUAGAUUCCGAAUCUAAAGGUCGUGGGUUCGAAUCCCACUGUGAUCACUAUUCUUCUUCUUUUUUUUUUCAAUUGUUAAGUACAUAUGAGGGGGCAUAAACGAAGUGGAUAUCGUGCCCAGUGUAAUAUAUGUGGUUUUCGUAUAGAAAUUUGUGGGUAUAUACGUUUUCGACCACCUGGUUCUAUAGAAAUUUUUGGGUUUUGGUUUAGCCAGAGGGGUGGUGACUAAACAAACCACCCCCCCCCCCCCCCCCCAAACCCCGUAUGGUUCCGCCGACGCUCCCUUGCUUCUAGUUCCUGCUACUUAGAUGUUUGUUUCGACCAACGUUUUCCCCCCUAUUACAAUCUUCGGCAGGCUCUACCAAUAGCAUUGGAGCACGAGUCCUAGUGCUGGAACUGAAUCUGGUUUUCUUGAUACUCAUUCUCUAAACCGUAGAGUUGCACUUCCAGAGCAGAGCAUACUUCUCCCGAUCUGUGUAUUCUCUUAUUCUGGAGUCACUUUGGUUCGAAGGAAAAUACCAUGAUGCAGAAUGGGUUAUAGAAUCUAGAUAUAGAAAAAAUAUGAAGAAAAAACACUAUAGUACCUAGCUCGGUUAUAUAAAGCAAGCGAUGAUCUAGAAAGCGCCUCAGGGACUUGAGCGUCAAAGCUGGUCAACAUCAAGGUUUGUAGGAGGCUUAUAUGUGAAGUCAGCCAAAAUGGAUGAAGAAAUUAUGAAUGAUUUAGUUGAUAAAAUGGCUGAUAUGUAAAAGAGACGAGAGAGAUGUAAUUUCUAGUCGUACAAAAAGAGCAACGUUUGGUGUCCAUGAACACUGCCUCGCUCUUCUUAAAACCAAGGUACCUAGUAUCCAUCAUAGAGUUGGUGAUUACAACACAUGUAACGAAACGAAAAACCUUAGUCUGGAAUUAAGGAACAAGGAAUCGUAGAUGCUAAAUGGUCUUAAGAACCGUUUAAUAAACUGUAACCUAAGAAAGAAAGAUCUUGAUUACAACAAUCAAUAACCGAUCAAACAUUGUGUAGGGGCUGUUUGGUAGCCUCUGAAUGAUCAUUAAGAGGCUACCUCUUAAUGGAACCACUAAGAAUUUUAUCAAUGAGAAGGUAGAAGAAUGUGACAUGUGAUGAUUUACCAUUCAGAGGUUACCUCUUAACCAUUCAGACUUGAGGUAACCUCUUAUUUAUUCAGAGGUUUAAACCAUUAAGAGGUAGCAUCUGAAUGGUCAUUAAGAGGCUACCAAACAGCCCCUCUAACAACGUAAUUAAUCUUUAUGAAUAAAUAUUAAAAAUUUGAUGUUAACUGUAGCAAAAUCCGAGCAAUCAAAUCUUAAUGAUUCAAGGGACUGAAUGUUUCUUCAUUUCUUAAUUUCUUAAUUUCGUAAUGGAUAUCAACUGUAUUUUUUUUCGUGUUAGAGGUGGCAGGAUGCGUGUUGAUAACUUGUCAACAUGAUCAUCUUCAAACGGCUGGGUUGACUCGUAAACAUUUUUUGUCCAUUUUCUUGAUCAAUGAUUAUUUCAGAAUUAUGACGCAUGAUGUGAAGGAAACCAUUUUACUAUUCUUAGAGUUGGUUUUUAAAUAAUUAGAUAAUAAUUAGAUAA